UUUGUAUGUUUGUGUGUAGACUCACAGCUUCAGUGAUCUCUGUGUCUUCAUCAAAAGAGUCUUCAUCGUCUGCCUCGAAUAUGGUGACCUCAUAUACCUGGACAAAGACCGGGAGAAAGACAGAGAAGCUGUCGACCCCCAGCACCCGCCCCAGUGCAUCCUGGGAGCAGUGGACGAUGUGCUGCUGCUUCUGGUCGUACAGCUGCUUCUGGAUGAUGUACUGCCCGAGGUAAAACAUCACCUGGAGGAAAAAACCAUCACAGACGCUUAAUAAGAGGCAUGUAAACACCAGAGAGUAGAGACAAUCAACUCCUGACACACUCAUGAUGCUAAAUGAGCAGAAAGCAGCUGAGUGGAGGGUUAUAUGUCCAGGAAAAUUGAUUUACUCGACUACUUUUCCGUGUUUCCUUCUAUAAAUGCAGUCUUUUGUUAGCAGACCACACACAUGCUGUACCUCCUUCAUGGUGAAAACAUCUUUAGUGGCUCCGGCAAGUUGCAGCAAAGAGUGAAACUCUACCUUUGGUCUGACCUGAACAAACAUAAAAAGGAGAAGGAUUGAGUCAAACAGGGAUUUUACUGAAAGCUGCUGCCAGCUGCCUGAAACAAUACUGACGAUGUGAAAGAUGCAAAAACGCUCCAGAGAGUUGAGAGAAACUGCAGAGGAGGGUGAUAGUUUCCACAAUAAAAUCCACUAGGCGUCACCUUUCACAUUAAACCGUCAUUUCUUUAUUUAAAUACCGAUAUGGAGAACUUAAAGCAACUGAACUUCCUGGGGGACGUUUAAGGACUCUGUACAUCCUGUACUUUCCACUUGCAGCUGCGGUUAAUCAAAACUUACUCACUUGAAACUCCUAAAAGCGUAGAGCGUAGUCACAGUGACUCAGGAUGCAGACACUCAAGUAUUCCCUCACAGGGCUGACUACUGCAUCAAAUAUGAGUAUUUGAUUUGUUUUUUUAGUCGUCUAUGAUAGUAAACUGAAUACAUUUGGGUUUCUAACUCUUAUUUGGACAAAAUAAUUGGUACAUUUUAAAAUUUCUGACCAAAUGACUAAUUGCAAUUGCAUAUAAAUAAUGUUUUAAAAAUAAGUGCAAUGAAAAACUAUGUAACUAUGUAAAACUACAACUUAAACCACUUAUUUUGUAAGUUUAAUGACAU